rnacentral:lncRNA from 1 species
ACUUACAACAGUCACACAGUAAAUUAUGGGAGUUCAUUUUUAUGUUCGUCAUGUACAUAUAUAUAUAUCAGUUGAUGUAUACCUAUUCAUUAUACGCGUACUUAUAUAUUUCCCAGAUAGAUCAAUAUAUCAUACGUAUUAUAAAUGUACCUUUGUAGACCUAAUGAGGUCAAAGAAGUGGAAAUUUUUGAUGAAUCACUUAGAGGAACGUAAAGCUACACAUAUAUAAACGGAGCAGUUCUACCUAUGUACGUGUGAUGUAAUAUUCAAUUGAAGAGGGGAAAAGUCUUAUUGAUGAGUAUGUAAGAGGUUCAGUGACUAUCAAUGAUUCUUUUUAAAGAAAUAAGUCUUAUUAUAUCCUUUUUGUAAUUAAUAAAAAAUAGCGUUAUCUUGUAACUCUUCCUCCAAAGAGAAAAAAAAAGGCGAAUAUCAGUUGAUAGUCUCAUAUUCAUCUAACCAACUACAUAUUAAAUUAUUAUUGGAAAUGUUCACUGCUUAGGAAGAGCUAAUUCAAAUUCAACCAAUCAAAGUUCAGAAAACUAAUAAGGGGAAAAGAACUAGGUAAGAAAAUCAUCGGUAAUUGACAACAAAAUAAAAUUCAAAUUUAUAGAUUUAGUGAGAUAACGUCGUAUGCCAGAUCUAUAAUUUUUAUAUAGUACUUUGUCAGGUGUUAACAGGCUAGCUUUUAAACCUUUAUUUGGACGGAGAGGGCUAAAAAAAGUAUGUAUUUGAUCAAAUUUUAAUUUGUUACGUAAAAAUAUAAUACAGCAGGAGCAAACUAAAAAAUAUUUAUUAUCCGUCAGGGGUGUGACUCACAGUCACUUGUGCUAAUAUAUGUAUAGAUUCCUUAAGGGCGCUAGUAUCGUUUAAUAUUAUAUCAACUGUUGUGUAAAGCCGGUAUAUUGUUUAGCUAUUUUAUUUUUUAAUAAUAUUUCAUCUUUACAAAUUGCAAUAUUGGCAUUGCGGUAUUUCAUAUUUGUAAAUUGUAAGAUAGUUAUUUUUAUAAUUUAUACAAAUGCCAUCGUUUUGUGUUGUCCCUGAGUGCUCGAGAGGAUGAUAAUUUCGAUUCCCUUCAAAUGAAGCUACAUUUCUUAAAUGGUGGAUUGCUCUGAGACGAAAAAACGAUAAUGGCUUACUCUGGAGGCCAUCACCACACUCUGUAUAAUGUGAAAACACUUCAAGCCAGAAGAUUUCCUAGUGUCAAGACAAACUCAAGCUUUCGUUGGCGGAAAAGUAUAUCGGCAUUUGAAACGAGAUGCAGCCCCAUCUAUUUUUACUUAGUCAAAAAAUGGUAACACAACACUGGCCAACACAAUUUUUCUUGCAUGGGUUCUUUAAAGUGAAUCUAACUCCAUUUUGGCUGUUGAUUCCAAAUCUGUCAUUAGUUUUUGCCUAUCACAUCAAGUUUUUGAAUAACGGAGUGAUGAAAAAAUACUACAACACAUACCAAAAAUCUACGAUUUAUCUACAAAUUUACGAGAGAAAAAUAAUACAUUAGUUUUGUU